CAGCAUGAAGUUAGGUGGUGGAAUUUCUUCCUUUUGUGGCUCAGAACUUGGGAUAGCAAAAGUAGAUGGAGAAUUUGGCAGAGUGUCUACUUUGGCUUCGUGGGUUUCAUCAUGAAGGGUAUUAUCCAUCUCAGCUUCUAGGAUUCUAUCUAGGAUUACUCUAGCAUCAUCAGUAGGGAAGCGAAAGAAAGAACCUCUAGACAUUGUAUGUAGCAUUUGUUUGUGAUUUUUCUAAAGACCUCAAAAAAAGUGAAAAAAAGAAUAGGAUCUUCAAGAUUAAGGUUUGGACCAGAUUCUAAAAGAUUAGAAAAAUGUUUCCAGUAUUUUCCCAAAGUUUCAUUAUCUUUUUGUUUAAAAGAUAGGACUUCGAGUCUAAGGUCGCCGAUACGGUCGAGGGAAUAAAAAUCAAGACAAAAGUUGGCUCGUAAAACUCCCCAUUCAGCUUUUUGUUGACUUACCUUCUGAUUAUACCAUUGUCUAGCUUCUCCCCUUAAAGAAAAAGGAAAAAACUUUCAACAUAAAGUUUUAUCAGAAAUGCCUUCAAUGCGAAGACAAUCACAUGUUUAACCUGGAACUUAACCUAUACUAGGAUGUUUGGAUAGGCUGUGAUGACUCCCAUGGUAAAAGGUCAGUUACCGAAGGUGUUGCA
rnacentral:lncRNA from 1 species